GACGAAGGGGGCAAGCGUUGUUCGGAAUUACUGGGCGUAAAGCGCGCGUAGGCGGAUUUGUAAGUCGGGGGUGAAAUCCCGGGGCUCAACCUCGGAACUGCCUUCGAUACUGCAAAUCUCGAGUCCGGAAGAGGUGAGUGGAAUUCCUAGUGUAGAGGUGAAAUUCGUAGAUAUUCGGAAGAACACCAGUGGCGAAGGCGGCUCACUGGUCCGGUACUGACGCUGAGGUGCGAAAGCGUGGGGAGCAAACAGG
rnacentral:rRNA from 1 species